rnacentral:rRNA from 1 species
CACGAAACAAGGUGAGCUAACAAUUAGUCUUUUUAGAAGGUAGUCUGUUGCAUAAUAUUUUUAAACUUUUUGUUAGGGGCGACAUACUUUUCAAAUCUUGUGAUAACUUGAUGCUUUUAAAAUAUAUUAAGUAUUAAUCGACUAUAAAGUGCUUAGAUUUUAUAGGUAUACAAAGAGCUUUUAUUAGUUUUUGCAUGAUUUAACAAUCAACAAGUUUAUUAAUUAUUAUACUAAUAGUUAAAUUGUAACAAUUAAAAAGCAAUAACUAAUUAUAAUCAAUAUUUAAAAUGUUAUUAUAAGUAAUAAAUAGUUAUUUUAAAUGAACUCGGCAAAAUACUUUUCAACUGUUUAUCAAAAACAUAGCUACUAGAGAUUAAUAGUAGUUAAUUCUGCUCAAUGAGUUUUAAAUAGCCGCAGUACACUGACUGUGCAAAGGUAGCAUAAUCAGUUGGCUUAUAAUUGAAGUCUUGUAUGAAUGAAUAAAUGGGGAGUAACUGUAUCGAAAAUAGAAAAUGAAAUUACUUAGUAAGUGCAAAUUCUUACAAACACAUAAUAGACGAGAAGACCCUAGAAAUUUAAAUUAUCUGUAUAAUGGCUUUUUGUUGGGGCAACAGUGUAACAAGAAACUUACAUUAUCAGUACAAGAAAUUAUUUGCAAGAUGAAAUUACUCUAGGGAUAACAGCGUAAUAUUCUAUAUGUUUGCGACCUCGAUGUUGGACUAGGAAACGAAUGCUUAG